CAUUCGAAGUCCCUCUCUUUGAACAGAUGUUUACUCUGUGACUGCCAACAGCAGCUUUAUCAUGAAAUAAAAUGAUCCUGGUUUAAAAGAGAACCUACACUUCUUAUUGACUUUAAACCACAAUUUGGACCUUGAUCACAAGUUUUUGUAUUCUCUGUUAACGAUAAAAAUCCAGCUGAGAGCCGAGGGCACCAGAGUGGUUGGGAUUAAAAGUGCAACAGCACUUUUACCGAAAGACAGGAAAUAAAAUGUCACUAGAUUUUUUGAAGAAAACGUCCAUCCAUCGAGCAGAUGCAGUAGAAACAAGGAGACAAGAAUGCACCCCAUUCUGAAAGUGGUGCUUGUUUUUGUCUUCUUGGUCUCUGUGUUGAGGGGCGAGUGCAGUCCAAGACCCAGGCCGAACAAGGUGCCCAUGUUACGCAGGAGGCUGGCAAAGGGUGUGCUGUCCAGGAGGACCCACUCAGGGUUCACACACCACCUCUGGGCUUUUUCCAUUGUCCAGAGAAGGUCUACACCAAGAGCUUUGAGCAGGACGUAGAAGCCCACAGCGAAGGAGGUCAAAAAGAGGGUCGUGAAGAAGUAUCUGUUCAUGCUGGCGCUGUAGAUGCUUUUUUUCUUGGAGACAACUUCGGCUACAAGCAGUCCUGACACAAAAUCAGAGAAGGAACAUCAAAAAUCAAGUGUCAUGGCCCAUGGAGCUACAGCUGCUUUGAGACCUUUUGGGACUUCUGCCUACACUGGAAAAUGGACUAGCUGAGCAUAGAGAUUGUAACAGAGCCCCUGAAGUCCUGCAUAGGACCAGAUUUAGCCAAUCUCCGAUCACCGCCACCCAGAUGAGCCUGAGCCCCGUGUCUCUGCGCAGGUGGAACCAGAUUGGGAAGAACCAGAAGUACGCAGUGUGCAGAUCCGCCACUGUCGACGCCAGGCUGAACAAGCCCUCGUACCUGCUGUAUUUGGACUGCAAAUGGACCGCCAGCUCGACCCCCCAGCUGUGGAGAAGAUCCAUGAUUUCACAGCCUCUGUCUGAGGAUGGUGCACCGAAUCUGGGAUCUGAGUCUUUUUGUUAAGCUAUGUUGCUGCUACUGUGUGAUCCCCAUUGGACUUUACUCAAGGCUGGCACAUUUUGUUUACCUUUGGGAGAGUGCAGACAGGUUCCUUAACCUUUACACCUGGGUGCCCCCAUCAGUAGAGAGAUCAGGUGCCGCCCCUUUGAAUGAUCACAAACUUCUAGGAAAUCCCUUUUUUUCUCUGAACAAUUUAACAUAUGCUGCCAGUUUCUAAUGAAAUCUAUUGAUCUUUGCUCACAAUUUAUAUGUGUUCUUAUUUGUGGAACUGAAUGUGAGAAUAUAAUUGCUUUCUUAUCAAAGAACCCACAUCCUUUCAAACACGAGGAAGUGGUCUUGAAGUUCCCCUCGAGUUCUGUUGGUCAUAAAUACAGAAAACAA